AGUUCGGAUUGAAGGCUGAAAUUCGCCUUCAUGAAGCUGGAAUUGCUAGUAAUGGCAGGUCAGCAUACUGCCGUGAAUACGCUCCCGGGCCUUGUACACACCGCCCGUCACACCAUGAGAGUUGGGAAUACCCGAAGCCUGUGAGCUAACUUAUAGAGGCAGCAGUCGAAGGUAGAAUCAAUGAUUGGGGUGAAGUCGUAACAAGGUAAC
rnacentral:rRNA from 1 species